GGAAUCACUUUGGCAAUACGUAUGCUAAAACUGGAACUGUGCAGAGAAGGCCGGCAUGGCUCCUGCACAAGACGAUGCAUAAAUUCACGAGGUGUUCACUAUUCUU
ensembl:snRNA U6 U6 spliceosomal RNA